CAUUAGAUGACUGAAAGCAAGUAUUAGUCUCUUAAACUAUAUCAUGAUAAAAUAGCAAAUAUCUCUAAUGA
rnacentral:tRNA from 1 species